AGAGUUUGAUUAUGGCUCAGAUUGAACGCUGGCGGCAUGCCUUACACAUGCAAGUCGAACGGCAGCAUGAUCUAGCUUGCUAGAUUGAUGGCGAGUGGCGAACGGGUGAGUAAUACAUCGGAACGUGCCCUGUAGUGGGGGAUAACUAGUCGAAAGAUUAGCUAAUACCGCAUACGACCUGAGGGUGAAAGUGGGGGACCGCAAGGCCUCAUGCUAUAGGAGCGGCCGAUGUCUGAUUAGCUAGUUGGUGGGGUAAAGGCCCACCAAGGCGACGAUCAGUAGCUGGUCUGAGAGGACGAUCAGCCACACUGGGACUGAGACACGGCCCAGACUCCUACGGGAGGCAGCAGUGGGGAAUUUUGGACAAUGGGCGAAAGCCUGAUCCAGCAAUGCCGCGUGUGUGAAGAAGGCCUUCGGGUUGUAAAGCACUUUUGUCCGGAAAGAAAUGGCUCUGGUUAAUACCUGGGGUCGAUGACGGUACCGGAAGAAUAAGGACCGGCUAACUACGUGCCAGCAGCCGCGGUAAUA
rnacentral:rRNA from 1 species